UGACUGAAAAUAAAAAAUUACAGAAGUUAACAUACAACACAUUGUCAACUGCCGUUAUACACAUUGCAUUACAAUGUCCAUCAAAUAAAACAGUUAAAUUAUGCUUUUUCGUCAAUUGAAACUUGAGUGAAAAUCAAUAAUUAUUACGUUUAAGAAUGAAUAAAGUCCUUAACCAUUACAACAUUGUCUAUACGUGACAAAAAUAAG
rnacentral:lncRNA from 1 species